GUCUCCGUAGCUCAGGUGGAUAGAGCGACUGCCUCCUAAGCAGUAGGUCACAGGUUCGAGUCCUGUCGGGGACA
rnacentral:tRNA from 1 species